rnacentral:rRNA from 1 species
GUCCUUUUGAAUUUAAUUGAAGGUCUGACCUGCCCAGUGAGGAGUUCAACGGCCGCGGUAUACUGACCGUGCAAAGGUAGCAUAAUCAUUAGUCUUUUAAUAGGGGGCUGGAAUGAAAGGUUUAACGAGGAACUGACUGUCUCAUUUUAUUUGUUUUAAAAUUUAAUUUUUUAGUUAAAAAGCUAAAAUUCUAUUGGAAGACGAGAAGACCCUAUAGAUCUUUACAUGAAAUUAUCUAAAUAUUUUUAUAUUAAUAUUUUUAGAUUAUUUUUUGUUUUGUUGGGGUGACAAAAAUAUAUAUUUAACUUUUUUAUAUACAUAACAUUGAUUUAUGAAUAUUAGAUCCAUUAUUAUUGAUUAUUAGACUAAGUUACCUUAGGGAUAACAGCGUAAUCCUCCUCCAGAGUUCGUAUUAACAGGAUGGGCUUGCGACCUCGAUGUUGGAUUAAGAUAAUAAUUAGGUGUAGCAGCUUAAUUUAUAGGUCUGUUCGACCUUUAAAUUCUU